GGAAUAAUACUUUAAAUAAAAGUUUUAAUUUGCGUUUAAAAAAUAGGAUGUUUCCUUUAUUCCA
rnacentral:tRNA from 1 species